GACGAACGCUGGCGGCGUGCUUAACACAUGCAAGUCGAACGGAAAGGCCCUGCUUUUGUGGGGUGCUCGAGUGGCGAACGGGUGAGUAACACGUGAGUAACCUGCCCUUGACUUUGGGAUAACUUCAGGAAACUGGGGCUAAUACCGGAUAGGAGCUCCUGCUGCAUGGUGGGGGUUGGAAAGUUUCGGCGGUUGGGGAUGGACUCGCGGCUUAUCAGCUUGUUGGUGGGGUAGUGGCUUACCAAGGCUUUGACGGGUAGCCGGCCUGAGAGGGUGACCGGCCACAUUGGGACAGAGAUACGGCCCAGACGGCGACGGGAGGAGGCAGGGGGGAAUAUUGCACAAUGGGCGGAAGCCUGAUGCAGCAACGCCGCGUGCGGGAUGACGGCCUUCGGGUUGUCGACCGCUUUCGCCUGUGACGAAGCGUGAGUGACGGUAAUGGGUAGAGAAGCACCGGCUAACUACGUG
rnacentral:rRNA from 1 species